GGUGGAUAAAGUUUACGGUUCUGGCUAGUGGCGGUUGGCUUGAGCUUGCAUCUUCAAUGGAGCGUAAGAAAUUCGAGGAAAUUCUACUGCUGUGCUAGCCGUCGGAGCAAGAUUGGCUAUCCGCCUGUUCCUUCUGCUAUGGCCGCCUCUGUUUCCCUUCAGCAUCCCACCCACUGCUUCCCUUCGAACCGUCACCAGUUGAAGAGCUGCUGCCAUGAACGGUCUCCGCUACCCAAGUCGUACUCGCUUUCCUCUAAAACCCGUAAAACCUUGCGAGCCAUCAAAGCUUCGCUGGUUGAUACGGCCUCAUAUCCACUCUUUGAGCCUCCCAAGGUCGACGAAUCAUCAACCUCUGAGUUGGAGCCUGCAGACCCUGAUUUUUACAAGAUUGGGUACGCUCGAAGUGUUCGAGCUUAUGGUGUUGAAUUCAAAGAAGGGCCUGACGGAUUCGGAGUUUAUGCUUCCAAAGACGUUCAGCCACUUCGCAGAGCCAGGGUGAUCAUGGAAAUUCCUCUGGAGCUGAUGUUAACCAUAAGCCAGAAACUCCCAUGGAUGUUCUUUCCAGAUAUCAUACCAGUGGGUCACCCAGUAUUCGAUAUCAUCAAUUCCACCAAUCCAGAGAUGGAUUGGGACCUGAGGUUAGCUUGUCUUCUUCUAUUUUCCUUUGAUGUGGAGGGAAACUUUUGGCAGCUAUAUGGUGAUUUUUUACCCAGUGUGGAGGAGUGCACUAGCUUGCUUCUGGCAGCAGAGGAGGACCUCUUAGAGCUGCAAGAUCAGAAUUUGGCAUCAACCAUGAGAGAACAACGUCAGCGAGCUUUGGAAUUUUGGCAAAAGAAUUGGCACUCUGCUGCACCCCUCAAAAUAAAGCGCCUUGCUCGUGAUCCAGAGAGAUUCAUUUGGGCAAUGAGUAUGGCACAAUCACGGUGCAUCAACAUGCAAAUAAGGAUCGGUGCACUUAUUCAAGAUACAAGCAUGCUAACUCCUUAUGCUGACAUGCUAAACCAUUCCUUUCAGCCAAAUUGUUUUCUUCAUUGGCGUUUCAAGGACCGAAUGCUUGAGGUGAUGAUAAAUGCUGGCCAGCCGAUUAAAAAGGGAGAGGAGAUGACUAUCAAUUACAUGAAGGGACACAAGAAUAAUGUGUUUAUGCAAAGAUAUGGAUUUUCGUCACCUGUGAAUCCUUGGGAUGACAUCCAGUUCUCUGGAAACGCGCAGAUUCAUUUGCAUUCAUUCUUGUCAGUGUUCAAUAUUUCUGGCCUUCCUGAAGAGUAUUAUCACAACAGUCGGUUAUUAGAUGGUGUGGAUAAUUUUGUUGAUGGAGCAGUCAUAGCAGCUGCAAGAAUGCUGCCUUCUUGGUCUGAUGGGGAUGUGCCUCCAAUCCCAAGCAUGGAAAGGAAAGCUGUGAAGAAGUUGCAAGAGGAAUGCCAACAGAUACUUUCCAAAUUUCCUACAACCUCUGACCAAGACCAGAAGAUCCUAGCAGAUUCUAUGCCAUCAUCUUCGAGGACGCUUGAAGCUGCAAUCAAGUACAGAUUGAACAGGAAGUUGUUCAUACAAAAGGUUAUCCAAGCAUUGGAAAUUUAUAAAGAAAGGCUGUUGUUUUAGUCACAGUUUCAACAUUUGCGGCAUUGGAGAUAUUUCUAUUAGCUUGGCUACUUUUAUCAGAAGUGCUGCAGUUACAAGGAUUGUGGUGCAUCAAUGACGAAUGGGGAUAUCUUGGUGUAAGAUGGUCGUGGUCACGAUCUAAAGAAUAUAUGCAAAUCAAUUUUAUGUUCUUAAAAGCCCUAGACAUAUGCCUCUCCAACCUUCUUUGCACUUUGCCUCUACGAAAUCCCUUAAUGCUAUACAUACACGCGCGCGUGCGCGCACAUACACACAUAUAUGUUGCUUUUGUUUUGUUUUUUAAAAGUCACUUUUAUUAAUUAAUACCAUGUUGUAUUCAUGUGAGGUCCUUGGAUGAAAUUGAAUGAUUAAUUUUAAAAUGAUUGUCAUAUAUAUGCGUGCGUGUGUGGAUGGGUUUCGUUUUCGUGUCACUUUGCCUCUUUAACACUACUAAAUGGGCAAGUAUAACAAAUGUACCAUUUUCUUUCGCAAUAUGAGCAUGUUUUGUUU